rnacentral:snoRNA from 1 species
CCGUAUGAUGAUAUAAUUUGCGAUUGAGAAGCCUUGCUCGUGGACAAACGCCUAGUCCAUACAACGACAGGCUCUCUCUGAUAUUCAAUUUCUUACAUAUACUGACA